AGGCGCACGGCGUGCAGGUGACAUCCAGCGCAGAUACGGAGUCGGGAUUAUUAAGUCACGCAUCUGGUCAGAACAAUACCACCGAUGAACCCACUGAACGCACGGGCGUCAUUCCCGGUGUGGUCGACCGCGUGUGACGCCUCUCUGCUGCAGGACGACUCAGUGGUCACAUCGAAGGGCCACAUUCGACUGCUACCUGCGUCACUUUCCCUGGCUACAUGGUGUCUCCUCAUGCAAGAAGCCACCGGGCAGCAUGAAAAGCGCAACAAAACUGCGCUGGGCACCAGGUCGGGCCGCGUCUUCCACGGAAUCCUUGGGCCAACAACCCGCCGGUCUUUCCAACUCCUCAUCGCCAGUAUAGAUGGCUUUCCUCCCCAAAAGCCCCACCCCCAAUUGGGCUAAAAAAAAAACAACAACAGAGGCAACACUUGCAUCUCAUUAGCAAGGCGCCAUGUUCAAUGACUCAAUAAAUGGUUUUUUAAGGACAAACAUUAGCGAGAACAUGAAUCCCAGCGCACAGAUAACACUGGGUUCAGUCUGCUGGGCAGUCCUCCAGUGGCUCCUGCCUACAGCGUGUGAAAACCAACGUGAAAGCAGCCGUGAGCCUCGGGACCCACUAUCGGUGUCUUCGUGUCUUCUGCACGCUAUGCUGUUUUUCGCACCGCUGAAGCUAACCAUAGGCGUCCCCUUGCAUC